UACGGAGGGUGCAAGCGUUAUCCGGAUUCACUGGGCUUAAAGGGUGCGUAGGCGGGUUGGUAAGUCCGUGGUGAAAUCUCCGAGCUUAACUCGGAAACUGCCGUGGAUACUAUCAAUCUUGAAUAUCGUGGAGGUAAGCGGAAUAUGUCAUGUAGCGGUGAAAUGCUUAGAGAUGACAUAGAACACCAAUUGCGUAGGCAGCUUACUACACGAUCAUUGACGCUGAGGCACGAAAGCGUGGGGAGCAAACAGG
rnacentral:rRNA from 1 species